AUCCUCUCCAGCUGAGGCCGCGGCCGGAGCCAGGCUGGGGCGCGGGAGAGGCAGGUACCAGCGCGGUCUGCGCAGCCCGAGGCGCUAGAGCUGCGCUCACCGCAGGAAGGACGGUUCCUGGGGGAACCAGGGACCGAGGCGUCCGAGCAGGCGGGAUUUGCGCCUGGCCGGCCACGGUCCGAAGUCCGCGCUAUGGGAGAAGAGAAAUACUUGCCUGAGCUGAUGGCAGAGAAGGAUAGCCUUGAUCCAUCUUUUGUGCACGCGUCGCGCCUUCUGGCGGAAGAAAUUGAGAAAUUCCAAGGCUCGGAUGGAAGAAAAGAAGAUGAGGAAAAGAAGUAUCUCGAUGUCAUCAGCAACAAAAACAUAAAGCUCUCGGAAAGGGUAUUGAUCCCCGUGAAACAGUAUCCAAAGUUCAAUUUUGUGGGGAAAUUGCUUGGACCAAGAGGAAACUCCUUGAAGAGGCUACAAGAAGAAACGGGUGCUAAAAUGUCUAUCCUGGGCAAAGGAUCGAUGCGUGACAAGGCAAAGGAAGAAGAGCUGAGGAAGAGUGGGGAGGCCAAGUAUGCCCACCUGAGUGACGAACUGCACGUAUUAAUUGAAGUGUUUGCUCCACCCGGGGAAGCUUACUCACGGAUGAGUCAUGCUUUGGAAGAGAUUAAAAAAUUCCUGGUUCCUGACUACAAUGAUGAAAUUCGUCAAGAGCAACUCCGGGAGUUGUCUUACUUGAAUGGCUCAGAAGAGUCUGGCCGGGGCCGAGGUAUUAGAGGCAGAGGGAUCAGAAUAACUCCCACAGCUCCUUCAAGGGGCCGUGGGGGUGCUGUUCCACCACCACCACCACCUGGACGAGGUGUUCUUACCCCUCGGGGAACCACUGUGACCCGCGGAGCUCUCCCAGUACCCCCAGUAGCAAGAGGUGUCCCAACACCUCGAGCCCGGGGAACAGCAGCGGUCCCAGGAUACAGAGCGCCCCCACCUCCAGCUCCUGAGGCUUAUGAAGAGUAUGGGUACGAUGAUGGCUAUGGGGGUGAAUAUGAUGACCAGACCUAUGAGGCUUAUGAUAAUAGCUACGUGACCCCGACACAAAGUGUGCCUGAAUACUAUGACUAUGGUCAUGGAGUAAAUGAGGAUGCCUAUGACAGCUACGCACCAGAAGAAUGGACCACAACCCGCUCCAGCCUGAAGGCACCACCACCAAGAUCUGCACAAAGAGCACAUAAAUGAUAGCAGAUAUGAUGGACUAAAAGGGAUACAGGAUGGAGAGCAGGAUGUGACGUCACAAUGAAAGAAACCUGGCCAUCGAGUGUUACUGUUUGCUAUGCCAGUCCUAAUUCAGGUUCCUUCUAAUAACCUGGUCGUCAUUGCGUACAUACGAGCCAGUCUGGCUCCCGUGUAUUCUAUACGAGGCUCACGACCUCCUACUUUUGUGUGGCUGAAUAGUAUUCUGAUGCAUAUGGACUGCAUUUGCUUCCUCUGUUCAUCAGUGGAUGGCCAUUUUGGCAUUCCCAUGUCUUGACGACUGUGAAAAGAGCCGCAGUGAACAUAAGAAUUUAAGAUACCCAAGUGAAAGUGAACACAGAAAUAAAGGACAAGCUAGAUCCUGAGAGAAAGAUAACAAGGAUCCAUUAUGAGUGCAAGGGCAUGAGAAAGAAGAGGGGAGUUUCUCCUACAUCUCCAGAGCAGACUAAAGAAGAAGUUAAUUUGGCCUGGGGCUGAAAAAACAUGGCAUCAUAAAAGAGAUGAGGUUGGAUGGAUUGUCAGAUAUGGAGAAAAAGAACAGCGAUGACUCACCCACCCUUCCUUCGCCCGUGUCAUAAUCACCACGUGCAGGUCGCCAUACUGAAUAAUGAGUGCGAAUCGCAGAUGUCUGUCAAUCAGGUCACUGAAAUAUUCAAAUGGUGACUGAGUUGUCAAAUUCAUCAAAGAAAUUGUACGUUGACUGUGGCCACAGCUUUAUUGAGACUUCCAAAAGUCCCAUGAGAACCAAGGACAAAAUUUCCUGCAGCUUAAACUACUGGAUUAGGAGAAAAUUUCUAAAUGUAAAUCGCUAACGAAGACAACGUGGUGCCAAGGAAAUCAUGGGAAAUUCAUAGCAUUCAGCAGCUGAUACAACUAACUUGAAAUAAAGCGUUUUUUGGAGUAGAGAAUGGUAAAACCCAAAUUCGUAAGGGAAAUAGUUAAAAUACACAUUGUGUUCAGGGGCCAUGUAGCACUUGAUGUUUGGGAUACAGUUAAUAAAAAUGUAUAAGGAAUAAUGCAAGCCUUGGCACUAUAAAAAGCUAUCAAAUUGUUGAGAUCUUUAAAUAAAAGGUUUUUUUUUUGUUUCUCAUCCUGUAGAAAUGUUAUUUGAAUGUACAAAUGGAAUUAAUAAAACAUGAUUUUGGAAA